AGUCAUAAACCUAAACUACACACGCAAAUCGACACAUUUGCCGGGGUGCUCAGUCGGAUUAAAGCUGGCUUGGGUCGGGAAAUGGGAUUUGCGGAGGCUUAAC
rnacentral:sRNA from 19 species